GAUGAACGCUGGCGGCGUGCCUAAUACAUGCAAGUCGAGCGAACAGACGAGGAGCUUGCUCCUCUGACGUUAGCGGCGGACGGGUGAGUAACACGUGGAUAACCUACCUAUAAGACUGGGAUAACUUCGGGAAACCGGAGCUAAUACCGGAUAAUAUAUUGAACCGCAUGGUUCAAUAGCGAAAGACGGUUUUGCUGUCACUUAUAGAUGGAUCCGCGCCGCAUUAGCUAGUUGGUAAGGUAACGGCUUACCAAGGCGACGAUGCGUAGCCGACCUGAGAGGGUGAUCGGCCCAACUGGAACUGAGACACGGGCCAGACUCCUACGGGAGGGAGCAGUAGGGAAUCUUCCGCAAUGGGCGAAAGCCUGACGGAGCAACGCCGCGUGAGUGAUGAAGGUCUUCGGAUCGUAAAACUCUGUUAUUAGGGAAGAACAAAUGUGUAAGUAACUAUGCACGUCUUGACGGUACCUAAUCAGAAAGCCACGGCUAACUACGUG
rnacentral:rRNA from 1 species